rnacentral:lncRNA from 1 species
UUUGCCACUCAGAUUAUAUUGAGUACUUCGAUUUGCGUAGCUCCUAUGUCGGAGUAGUGAUUCGUAGCAUAGACGUGGUGUCUGGGCUAUGGUUGCUUGUAGAUGUCCCCUGAUCAGCCGGACAGUGGUAGCUCGCGUAGCUGACUUUAUAGCUACGUUGAAUCCUUUGUAGUCCACAUCCUGUUGAUAGAAAUGUUAAGCUUGUAGAUGCCUCAUAGGAGAUUACUCUAUUUCUUCUCCUAUUCGGGUUACUUGUCCGAUAAGAUGAUAAUAUACAAAGUUUACCGGUUAUUAGAACCAGAGUACAUUAGCUAUUUCCUCAUUCUCAAUAAUUUUCUAGAUUUUUUGUACCUCCC